rnacentral:rRNA from 1 species
AGAGUUUGAUCCUGGCUCAGGAUGAACGCUGGCGGCGUGCUUAACACAUGCAAGUCGAACGGAACUGCAUAUGAAGAUUUACUUCGGUAAUGAUUCGCUUGUAGUUUAGUGGCGGACGGGUGAGUAACGCGUGAGUAACCUGCCCUUGAGAGGGGGAUAACGUUCUGAAAAGGACGCUAAUACCGCAUAAUACUAUUGAAUCGCAUGGUUUAAUAGUCAAAACUGAGGUGCUCAGGGAUGGACUCGCGUCCGAUUAGAUAGUUGGUGAGGUAACGGCUCACCAAGUCGACGAUCGGUAGCCGGACUGAGAGGUUGAACGGCCACAUUGGGACUGAGACACGGCCCAGACUCCUACGGGAGGCAGCAGUGGGGGAUAUUGCGCAAUGGGGGAAACCCUGACGCAGCAACGCCGCGUGGAUGAAGACGGUUUUCGGAUUGUAAAGUCCUUUUCUUAGGGACGAAUUCUGACGGUACCUAAGGAAUAAGCUCCGGCUAACUACGUGCCAGCAGCCGCGGUAAUACGUAGGGAGCAAGCGUUAUCCGGAUUUACUGGGUGUAAAGGGUGCGUAGGCGGCCCUGUAAGUCAGAUGUGAAAUUUAGAGGCUCAACCUCUAAACUGCAUUUGAAACUAUAGGGCUUGAGUGAAGUAGAGGCAGGCGGAAUUCCCUGUGUAGCGGUGAAAUGCGUAGAGAUAGGGAGGAACACCAGUGGCGAAGGCGGCCUGCUGGGCUUUAACUGACGCUGAGGCACGAAAGCGUGGGUAGCAAACAGGAUUAGAUACCCUGGUAGUCCACGCUGUAAACGAUGAUUACUAGGUGUGGGGGGUCUGACCCCUUCCGUGCCGCAGUUAACACAAUAAGUAAUCCACCUGGGGAGUACGACCGCAAGGUUGAAACUCAAAGGAAUUGACGGGGGCCCGCACAAGCAGUGGAGUAUGUGGUUUAAUUCGAAGCAACGCGAAGAACCUUACCAGGUCUUGACAUCCUAAGGAUCUGCCAGAGAUGGCGGAGUGCCCUUCGGGGAAUUUAGAGACAGGUGGUGCAUGGUUGUCGUCAGCUCGUGUCGUGAGAUGUUGGGUUAAGUCCCGCAACGAGCGCAACCCUUACUGUUAGUUGCUACGCAAGAGCACUCUAGCAGGACUGCCGUUGACAAAACGGAGGAAGGUGGGGAUGACGUCAAAUCAUCAUGCCCCUUAUGACCUGGGCUACACACGUACUACAAUGGCCGUCAACAGAGGGCAGCGAAAUAGUGAUAUGGAGCAAAUCCCUAAAAACGGUCUCAGUUCAGACUGCAGGCUGCAACUCGCCUGCACGAAGGUGGAAUUGCUAGUAAUCGCGGAUCAGCAUGUCGCGGUGAAUACGUUCCCGGGCCUUGUACACACCGCCCGUCACACCAUGGGAGCCGGUAAUACCCGAAGUCGGUAGUCUAACCGCAAGGAGGACGCCGCCGAAGGUAGGAUUGGCGACUGGGGUGAAGUCGUAACAAGGUAGCCGUAUCGGAAGGUGCGGCUGGAUCACCUCCUU